GACGAACGCUGGCGGCGUGCUUAACACAUGCAAGUCGAACGAAGUGGCGAACGGGUGAGUAACGCGUAAUCAACCUGCCCUUCAGAGGGGGACAACAGUUGGAAACGACUGCUAAUACCGCAUACUGAUGCAGGGGAUUGCGUCAGAUUCGCUAGUUGGAGGGGUAACGGCCCACCAAGGAGAUGAUCAGUAGCCGAUCUGAGAGGGUGAUCAGCCCCACUGGGACUGGGACACGGCCCUUACUCCAUCGGGAGGCAGCAGUGGAGAAUAUUGGACAAUGGACCAGAGUCUGAUCCAGCAAUUCUGUGUGCACGAUGAAGUUUUUCGGAAUGUAAAGUGCUUUCAGUUGGGAAGCGUUACCAGCAGAAGAAGUGACGGCUAAAUACGUGCCAGCAGCCGCGGUAAUAC
rnacentral:rRNA from 1 species